rnacentral:rRNA from 1 species
GCCCUUGGAACCUUACCAGGUCUUGACAUCCCGCUGCCCGGUAUAGAGAUAUACCUUUCCCUUCGGGGACAGCGGUGACAGGUGGUGCAUGGUUGUCGUCAGCUCGUGUCGUGAGAUGUUGGGUUAAGUCCCGCAACGAGCGCAACCCUUGAUCUUAGUUGCCAGCAUUCAGUUGGGCACUCUAAGGUGACUGCCGGUGACAAACCGGAGGAAGGUGGGGAUGACGUCAAAUCAUCAUGCCCCUUAUGACCUGGGCUACACACGUGCUACAAUGGAUGGUACAAAGGGCUGCAAGACCGCGAGGUUUAGCCAAUCCCAUAAAACCAUUCUCAGUUCGGAUUGUAGGCUGCAACUCGCCUACAUGAAGCUGGAAUCGCUAGUAAUCGCGGAUCAGCAUGCCGCGGUGAAUACGUUCCCGGGCCUUGCACUCACCGCCCGU